GCUGAUGUAGCUUAAUGAUAGAGCAUCGUUCUCCAUAAUCAUUGCGAUUACACAAAGCGAAGGAUGUAGGUUCGAUUCCUACCAUCGGGCCCA